AUACGUAGGUGGCAAGCGUUGUCCGGAAUUAUUGGGCGUAAAGCGCGCGCAGGUGGUUCCUUAAGUCUGAUGUGAAAGCCCCGGCUCAACCGGGGAGGGUCAUUGGAAACUGGGGAACUUGAGUGCAGAAGAGGAUAGUGGAAUUCCAAGUGUAGCGGUGAAAUGCGUAGAGAUUUGGAGGAACACCAGUGGCGAAGGCGACGGGCUGGUCUGUAACUGACACUGAGGCGCGAAAGCGUGGGGAGCAAACAGGAUUAUAUACCCUGGUAGUCCACGCCGUAAACGAUGAGUGCUAAGUGUUGGGGGGUUUCCGCCCCUCAGUGCUGCAGCUAACGCAUUAAGCACUCCGCCUGGGGAGUACGGUCGCAAGACUGAAACUCAAAGGAAUUGACGGGG
rnacentral:rRNA from 1 species